GCGGCGUGCUUACACAUGCAGUCGAACGGAAAGGCCUCUUCGGAGGUACUCGAGUGGCGAACGGGUGAGUAACACGUGGGUAAUCUGCCCUGCACUUCGGGAUAAGCCUGGGAAACUGGGUCUAAUACCGGAUAUGACCACGGAACGCAUGUUUUGUGGUGGAAAGCUUUUGCGGUGUGGGAUGGGCCCGCGGCCUAUCAGCUUGUUGGUGGGGUGACGGCCUACCAAGGCGACGACGGGUAGCCGGCCUGAGAGGGUGUCCGGCCACACUGGGACUGAGAUACGGCCCAGACUCCUACGGGAGGCAGCAGUGGGGAAUAUUGCACAAUGGGCGCAAGCCUGAUGCAGCGACGCCGCGUGGGGGAUGACGGCCUUCGGGUUGUAAACCUCUUUCAGCAGGGACGAAGCGCAAGUGACGGUACCUGCAGAAGAAGCACCGGCCAACUACGUGCCAGCAGCCGCGGUAAUACGUAGGGUGCGAGCGUUGUCCGGAAUUACUGGGCGUAAAGAGCUCGUA
rnacentral:rRNA from 1 species